CGACAAUCAGCUGUGCUUUUGAAGCUGUUUUUUAGACCCAACCAGCCCUAACCUCAAAACCGAGUGAACUAAUGUGCUGAAGCUGACCAGGUUAAAGACGCUAGCCAGAUGAAUACCUGCAACCAUUACAGACUGAUUUUACACCACACAUCAACUAAUCAACUAUGUCUUACAAAGGAUCGUGAAUGGGUUCACACAAAUGGAAUUGCCUAUGCCAGCAAUGCCUAUGCAUUGUGACUGAGGGCUUCAUUGAACUGCUCAGUUGGCCAUCAGAAGAAUGGACAGACAAGUGCUUCUAGACAGCAAAAAUGGAUGACAUCACCGCUAUUAAUCGUCCAAUCACUAUUGAAACAAUAUUAGAGUUGAUGUUUUUUUCUAUUCCAUUUCUAAAGUGCGCUUUUCCAUAUUAGGUUGCCUAUAGUUCUAUCUUUUUCAGAUUCUACAGUUUGUCAUGGUCCUUCCUAAACUCUGGUACCCAGAAUGAAAGGGAAACAAUACUGGGCAUAAGUACUUGAGAAGAGAAUUAUGACGGUUUGGUGAAUAUGAGCGAAC